rnacentral:rRNA from 1 species
GACGAACGCUGGCGGCGUGCUUAACACAUGCAAGUCGAACGGAAAGGCCCUGCUUUUGUGGGGUGCUCGAUUGGCGAACGGGUGAGUAACACGUGAGUAACCUGCCCUUGACUUUGGGAUAACUUCAGGAAACUGGGGCUAAUACCGGAUAUGAUCUCCUGCUGCAUGGUGGGGGUUGGAAAGAUUCGGCGGUUGGGGAUGGACUCGCGGCUUAUCAGCUUGUUUGUGGGGUAGUGGCUUACCAAGGCUUUGACGGGUAGCCGGCCUGAGAGCGUGAACGGCCACAUUAGGACUGAGAUACGGAGCAGACUGCUACCGGAGGCAGCAGUGGGGAAUUUUGCACAAUGGCCGGAAGCCUGAUGCAGAAACGCCGCGUGCGGGAUGACGGCCUACGGGUUGUAAACCGCUUUCGCCUGUGACGAAGCGUGAGUGACGGUAAUGAGUAAAGAAGCAACGGCUAACUACGUG